rnacentral:rRNA from 1 species
GAUGAACGCUGGCGGCGUGCUUAACACAUGCAAGUCGAACGGUGAAGCCAAGCUUGCUUGGUGGAUCAGUGGCGAACGGGUGAGUAACACGUGAGCAACCUGCCCUGGACUCUGGGAUAAGCGCUGGAAACGGUGUCUAAUACUGGAUAUGAGAUGUGAUCGCAUGGUCAUGUUUGGAAAGAUUUUUCGGUCUGGGAUGGGCUCGCGGCCUAUCAGCUUGUUGGUGAGGUAAUGGCUCACCAAGGCGUCGACGGGUAGCCGGCCUGAGAGGGUGACCGGCCACACUGGGACUGAGACACGGCCCAGACUCCUACGGGAGGCAGCAGUGGGGAAUAUUGCACAAUGGGCGGAAGCCUGAUGCAGCAACGCCGCGUGAGGGAUGACGGCCUUCGGGUUGUAAACCUCUUUUAGCAGGGAAGAAGCGUAAGUGACGGUACCUGCAGAAAAAGCGCCGGCUAACUACGUGCCAGCAGCCGCGGUAAUACGUAGGGCGCAAGCGUUAUCCGGAAUUAUUGGGCGUAAAGAGCUCGUAGGCGGUUUGUCGCGUCUGCUGUGAAAUCCCGAGGCUCAACCUCGGGUCUGCAGUGGGUACGGGCAGACUAGAGUGCGGUAGGGGAGAUUGGAAUUCCUGGUGUAGCGGUGGAAUGCGCAGAUAUCAGGAGGAACACCGAUGGCGAAGGCAGAUCUCUGGGCCGUAACUGACGCUGAGGAGCGAAAGGGUGGGGAGCAAACAGGCUUANAUACCCUGGUAGUCCACCCCGUAAACGUUGGGAACUAGUUGUGGGGACCAUUCCACGGUUUCCGUGACGCAGCUAACGCAUUAAGUUCCCCGCCUGGGGAGUACGGCCGCAAGGCUAAAACUCAAAGGAAUUGACGGGGACCCGCACAAGCGGCGGAGCAUGCGGAUUAAUUCGAUGCAACGCGAAGAACCUUACCAAGGCUUGACAUACACCAGAACACCGUANAAAUACGGGACUCUUUGGACACUGGUGAACAGGUGGUGCAUGGUUGUCGUCAGCUCGUGUCGUGAGAUGUUGGGUUAAGUCCCGCAACGAGCGCAACCCUCGUUCUAUGUUGCCAGCACGUAAUGGUGGGAACUC